rnacentral:rRNA from 1 species
CAAGAGCGUCUGUAAAAGUUGUUGCAGUUAAAAAGCUCGUAGUUGAACCUUGGGUUUGGUUGGCCGGUCCGCUUUUUUGCGAGUACUGGAUUCAACCGAGCCUUUCCUUCUGGCUAACCAGUCGUUUCGGCGGCUGGCGAACCAGGAUUUUUACUUUGAGAAAAUUAGAGUGUUCAAAGCAGGCAUUAGCUUGAAUAUAUUAGCAUGGAAUAAUAGAAUAGGACGUUAUGGUUCUAUUUUGUUGGUUUCUAGGACCAUCGUAAUGAUUAAUAGGGACGGUCGGGGGCAUCAGUAUUCAGUUGUCAGAGGUGAAAUUCUUGGAUUUACUGAAGACUAACUACUGCGAAAGCAUUUGCCAAGGACGUUUUCAUUAA